GCCAGUGUGGUGUAGUGGUCUGAGUGUUGGACUGUGACAUUGGAGACUAGGAUUCGAGUCCCUGCUCAGGCA